UACGUAGGUGGCAAGCGUUAUCCGGAUUUACUGGGUGUAAAGGGCGUGUAGGCGGUUUUGCAAGUCAGAUGUGAAAUCUCCGGGCUUAACCCGGAAACUGCAUCUGAAACUGCAGAACUUGAGUACUGGAGAGGAUAGUGGAAUUCCUAGUGUAGCGGUAAAAUGCGUAGAUAUUAGGAGGAACACCAGUGGCGAAGGCGACUAUCUGGACAGUAACUGACGCUGAGGCGCGAAAGCGUGGGGAGCAAACAGG
rnacentral:rRNA from 1 species